CGGGGUGUGGCGCAGUCUGGUAGCGCAUCUGCUUUGGGAGCAGAGGGUCGCAGGUUCGAAUCCUGCCGCCCCGACCA
rnacentral:tRNA from 1 species